rnacentral:lncRNA from 1 species
UGGCCUGACCAGCUGCUUUCCCACUCACAGAGUCACAGCCAUUUUCUAGGGGGCCUGAUGGGGCAGGCAGUGGCUCUCAUAGUGGGUCACAUGGGUGGCCAGAACUCAAGGCUCCUAGGAGAACCCUAAGGGAACAGAGUAUGUGCUGCUUCUGAACCCAAGUUGGUUGGGACCAUAGGCCCCAUGAGCUGCCAUCCCUUUAGGACAUGUAGGCACAUCCAGGGAAUCUAGAGGAGUAGAGUGGCCUCUGCCACCCACUAGGGGCUGGGAGAGAUGGGCAUGUGUCCUGGGAAGAAGCUGCAGCUCUCACGCCAGUGGCUGUCUCUGCCUCAGGCUCCCUUUCCUGAAGCGUGGCUCAAGGCGCACUGGCAGGGCCGCUCCAUGCUGGCAGCGAGUAAGUGGACCGCAGCUCCUCCCAUGCCUGCGCUCCCGCCCAUCCGAGCCCAGCCCCUCAGGCAGUGGGGACACCCUUGGGCCCACUCCACCGCGGCUAUGGUGCCAAUGUUGUCUGGCCCAGGUUGGGAAGGGCUGGUUCCUCUCUGGUGUGGGUCUGCUCAGUCAAACAAGACAUUCAGGCUUGCUAUUUGUUGGCGUCCCCUCCAGACAUGCGCCGGGAUGUACAGGAGAUCUUUCGUCUGACACCCCAUGAGAAGCAAUGUAUGAUGUUCAGCGCCACCCUGAGCAAGGAGAUCCGGCCAGUCUGCAGGAAGUUCAUGCAGGAUGUGAGUAGGGUGACGCCCCAGCUGGCUGCCUGCCUGCCCACCGUGGCCAACACCUCAGCGCAGCAGCUUUGGCCUU